AGAGAGGGAGGAGAUAUCAUCAUAAAAUAAACCAGGAGCGAUUCUGGCAGCGGUAGUGGCGCUCUCACUCUUCUUCCCACGUACCGCUUUAGCAGACCACCACAAAUCCACACAGUGACAAUAAUUAAUCUCUGCUUGCAACCACAACGCCACACCACACUAUCUACCGGACUCUCGCUUCAGUGUUGCUACUUUUCGUUUAAAAUACGCUCAGGAUUAGCGAGGGACAGCACAAUAUCCGGGGGCUACCACGACUCGUUCUUCUCCCCUCAUAAUCUGAAUGACGGGCGGACGGUUCGAUUUUGACGAUGGUGGCACAUAUUGCGGUGGCUGGGAGGAUGGAAAAGCCCAUGGGCAUGGCGUCUGUACCGGGCCCAAGGGCCAAGGAGAAUACUCCGGGUCCUGGAACAAUGGUUUUGAGGUAGUGGGGGUGUACACCUGGCCCAGUGGAAACGUGUAUCAGGGUUACUGGGCACAGGGGAAACGACACGGAUUCGGUGUGGAAUCGAAGGGAAAAUGGAUUUAUCGUGGUGAAUGGACUCAUGGAUUUAAAGGUCGAUACGGGGUCCGGCAAAGUCUCCACACGCCUGCUAGAUACGAUGGGACAUGGAGUAACGGUCUGCAAGAUGGAUAUGGAGUUGAAACGUAUGGUGAUGGAGGUACGUACCAGGGGCAGUGGACAGGAGGAAUGCGACACGGAUAUGGUGUGCGGCAAAGUGUACCUUACGGGAUGGCUACGGUUAUUCGCUCACCUCUUCGAACCUCGCUGGCCUCGCUCCGCAGCGAACAGAGCAACGGCACCGUCCUCCAUGCCAACCUCGACCUGUCAGACAGCCUUGCCGGCACCAGAGGAGGCUUUGUUCUCAACUUCCACAGCGAAGGCGAAGGUGAGAAGAAAAAAGGCUUGUUCCGAAGAGGGUCCCUGUUCGGCAGCCUCAGAAACCUCAGAAAGUCUGACUCCAGGUCGUCCAUAUCAAGCAAGCGCAGCUCCGCCCGCAGCGAUGCCGCCAGCUCCAUCAGCCGAAUCAGCUCCAGUGAUGCCAAUUCCACCAUCAGCUUCGGAGAUGGAGUUGAUGAGUACAUGCCCCUGGAGGACAAUGUAGAUGCCACCACCACUGAGUCCUACAUGGGGGAGUGGAAGAACGACAAGCGGAACGGCUUUGGUGUCAGCGAGCGCACCAACGGGAUGAAGUAUGAGGGAGAAUGGAUGAACAAUAAACGCCACGGCUACGGAUGCACAAUGUUCCCAGAUGGCACCAAAGAAGAGGGGAAAUAUAAAAACAAUGUGUUGGCGCGAGGCAUCAAAAAACAGCUCAUUCCUCUCAAAAACACCAAAACUAAACAGAAAGUGGAUCGGGCUGUAGAAGGAGCCAUACGGGCAGCAGCUAUUGCCAAAACAAAAGUAGAAAUAGCCACUUCAAGAACGGCUCACGCCAGGACUAAAGGUGAUGCUGCUGACCAGGCCGGUCAGUCUGCCAGUCAGGACUCAGACAUCGCCAGGGCAGUGGCAAGGGAACUGUCUCCCAACUUCCAUCAGCCAGGCCCUGAUUAUAUAAAGCAGAGGUUCAAUGAACCUAUUGAACCUAUUGUCCAAGAGGAGAAGAAAGAGAAGUCCUCCUCAAGUAGCCCUCAUUUCUACCGUAAAGGCACAACCCCAGACCACUCUCCCACUGCGACUCCCCAGCCCUCUCCCCCACCAACACCCCCACCAGCGCCAGCCCCAGAGCCCAAGAAGAGCCUCUUCAGCAAGCUCACCCCCAAGCCAGGGAAAGAGAAUAAAACCCCUUCAGCAGAGAGCCAGGCCCCGGUCAUCACAAAGGCAGUCUCUAAGACAUCGUUGAAACAGGAAGUAAGACAAGAAGUGCCUCCCCAACUGAAAACUUUCAAGAUGGCGGAGUCGGUCCCCGUCAGCCCUGGCAAUGGACAGCUGCACACUGACACUGAGUACCACGGCUACUACAUGAAGGCAGACGUGAAGAUCCCCCCAGAUGAACCUGAGGGAGUAGAGGAGGAGCAUGUUACCCCGUCCAACUUUGCCCAGAUGUCACAGCCCGCAAAACCUAUGGCGCAAUACAGGACACCCACCCCAAAACCUGGAGCGCCAAAGUCAGCAGCCAAAGAAAGCAAACCUGAGCUAACACUUAAGAAACAAGAUUCAUAUAAGCCAAAAAGCCUAGCAGAAACUAGGAAACAAGCCAGCUUGGAGAUCACCACGGAUUUCAUAGAGGAAGAGUCAGUAAGUAACUCAUACUGUAUGAUGAUGAAAAUGGGAAAACUGAAGCAAAGAGAAAGAAAGGUGUCAUUUCAGAACAACGUAUGAAACAUCAAAGGGUCCUAACUCAAUACUGGUUGCCCUUGUAAUGCUGUUGAAUAUUGGUCUAGCAAUAAUUUUUAUCCAUUUUUUAACCUGACGGAAUCUGAACUGAGUGAACUCAUCAAAACUAGUGGCAUAGGUCCCUAACUCUCUGCAUUUGCGUCAACGGCCUUUAAAAAUGGCACCGGUCAAGCACAGACACAGGCAAAGGAGGACUGUAAAUAGUGUGAAACAUUGGAGAAAGAUGAGACCAGGACCAUUCGGCCCAGACGCUGCCCAGUUUCGCUGGCGAUGAUUUGUGACUCGCUUUGGUUCUGUGAAAGCUGAAGCAAGCAGUCAUUGGGAAAGCAACAAAAAAACAAUCUGCUGAUCCAAGCUGUUUACCAGUCAAGUGCGUUGCCACUUCAUAUGCCCUGACAGGGGGGAUGUGGAGGGGGGUGGGCAGGGGGGGAUAUGUUCAGAGAUGCACUUUUAGUUGACAGAAGCUAACAGCUGCCUUACUAUUUUACCAUCUGACGUUUUAGUGGGGAGAUGCAGUGCACAAGGCUGCCAGAGGAAUGUGUUUCGGCAGACUUUGCUGCCUUGGGAGUGCGUCUCGGUGUGUCUCAGUGUUCACUAUACUUUUCACUUGGUCGAUAAGAAAUCAUACAUGUUUCGAAGUGGCACUCACCAGUCUUAUUCCAUUCCCCACUGCUAAAGCCGUCUAACUUCUCAUGUUAGGACAUGCUUGUGCAUGGGGCUGUUUCAAGUGCAUCUGUUUUAUGUAUUAGUUAGUAACUGUUAGGUUUUCAUAAUUGUUUUCCCUUUGUCUGUUUAUCCUUAGGUAUUACAAAUGAUUAAGAUAAGAUAGUAUUUAUUUAAGUCUAGUCCAUGCAUUUCUCAACUUUUUGAAGAUCCUUCAAAUUCAAAGGAAUUUCCAUAAAGCCUAUGUUACACAAAUCAGUUCAUUUGAAAGAAAUUGCAACAUUUAAUUCCAGUUAUUGUGAGGACAUAUUUCUAAAUAGUCCAAUUUGAGAGUAAUUUAUAUGCAAUUGAAGUAUCUUAGCAGUAUACAGGCACAGAUGUUUUUGACUAACCAGCUAUUGGCUGGAGGCUGGCUACAUAUAACACAAACUUAUAAGAUGACAUAGUUAACCAACACUGUGAUAAAAAAGUUGACUUUAUUUGAACAUGUUAGUAAUUUAGAGCUAAAUUUGGGAUAUUGAAUCAUUUUCCGACUGAUUCAAUAAAACACAUUUUUAUCUAUCUAUCUAUCUAUCUAUCUAUCUAUCUAUCUAUCUAUCUAUCUAUCUAUCUAUCUAUCUAUCUAUCUAUCUAUCUAUCUAUCUAUCUAUCUAUCUAUCUAUCUAUCUAUCUAUCUAUCUAUCUAUCUAUCUAUCUAUCUAUCUAUCUAUCUAUCUAUCUAUCUAUCUAUCUAUCUAUCUAUCUAUCUAUCUAUCUAUCUAUCUAUCUAUCUAUCUAUCUAUCUAUCUAUCUAUCUAUCUAUCCAGCCAGUGAUAAAGUUUGUUAACAUGGCUAGUCAUUCACACAGUGUACUUUAUGUAUACUGACCCUACAGUAUAUUGCACCAAAUUGGUUGCUUGUAAUUUGAUUGAUUUUAAGGCAAAGGACUGUAGUUUUGGGUGUGGUUUGCACUUGCAGAUAGAUUUUGCCAGUUUUUCUUGUGCAAUCAAGGAUCAAUGUGCAAAAUUUUUUAGUCUAAAGUGUUUUGUGAAAUAAAGGCAUAAUGGUUCAUUUUCAAAUGGAAGCAUAUGACUUUCCAAUUUCAUAUUUUUUUCCUAUUUUGUAGGAAAUAUGGCGUCCAACAUUGAUUUAUUGCCACAUGAAUAUAACAUACACAGUAGAUUGGCACAUGAAGAGAAUACAUACAUAAGAAUAAAGUGAUUUGUUUGGUUUGAUUUUAAUUAGAAAAUAUGCAGUUGCAUCUUGUAGAAUAAUGUUGAGGAAUUGUUAGAUUAAAAAAAAAAACUGUGUGCACAGGUUGGUUGGUUGAUGCAUGUCAAAUUGUUUCCUUAAUAGUUUGGCGUCUUUAAUUUGGCCAAGCCAACACCACAGCUAGCCUACCAACACUGGACCUCAUACUUACUAACUUGCACGGUUGUGAAAGCAGCCCAAUGCUCGAAACCUACUCCGCAAUAACACCUUGUUAUGUGUGUUGAAUACAUUCAGGUAGAGUAAAUGGUUGGCUAAAUGUCAUAACAUUAGCAUGACGUUCCAGUUUACUUUGGAUAAGACAGUAGAGAGAGAGUCAUUGUCUUAAAUAUGUGAAAGUCUAAUUACUGUAUUCAAUGUCAUCAAUAUAAUAUUUUAUUUUUGUUGUGACUAGUUAGCUAAGCAUGCCUAUUCGGUUUUAUUUUUUGAAUAAUAAAUAUGUUCUGUUUGCUCAGUUAAAAUAGAAUGAAAUGUAUUAUAUUUAUAAAACUGUACAUUUUGGUAAACUGUUUGAUAGGUGUAGGAGAUGCAUUUUCACUGGUUAUGGUAACAUUUCCAUUUGCAACAAUGCUGAGAGUAUGGUAUGAGGAGGAUGUGAAGGAUGCAUCAGUUGGAAUUCAGGGCAGUAACAUUGAGAUGUUUUACAGAGGUUUGGUCAGACAGACUGCCACAGAGAGAAUGUGAGAUUGGAAGAAGAAAGCAUCAGAAGGGGAAAUGGCUCCAGAUAUGUUUAUUACUACUUUUCUGAGUGUAAAGUAAUAAAGAACAUUUAGAGCACAGAGUUAAAGGGCAAUUCCGCCACUUUUCCACCUCAUAUUCAUGAUCUCUUGCACCAUACCACCCACUGGGCACAGAUGUCAAGUCAACGUCUUUUCCACGUUGGUACAAUGUAAUUUCAUUGAAAUUACAUGGAAACAACGUUGAUUCAACCACUGUGUGCCCAGUGGGAAGUGUCUACAUAUAUGAAAACGGUGCAUUUCUAUGAUCCGUGGUUAAAAAGAGGAAAUACCAAAAAAAAAAAUGCUUCUCUACGACAUCACAGGGUAGGACUAAAAGUAAGAAAAACUGAUUUUCAAAACUUGUAACGAGUUUGUAGCCAGAGGGAGGGUAUUUUCUUGCUCCCAACGUCAACACAAAUCUCAUAGUGUUUGAAAAUCACUGUUUUUAAACUGUCUUAACUUAUGAUGUCUUCAGGUGGAACUUUUUACUUCAUAUUUUUUCUACUAAAUAUAGAAAUGUGCCGUUUCCACAUCUGUAGACACUGGUAUUGUGCUGGAGAUAAUGAAAAUGAGCUUGAAAAGUGGGUGGAGUUGCCCUUUAAAGAGCACAGGCAAAGUUCAAAGUUGAAAGAACCACAAUGAAUGAUCAAUAAUUUAUUUUUCUUGUCUAAACUGUAUUUGCACACAGCUAUGUAUAAGGCUAUUUUCUACUAAUUGUACCUGAUGCUACAUACAUUUUUUUGGCCAAAAUUCUGAGCUGUUAUUACUGUUUAAAGGCAAAGGAACAGUCUAUUUAUGUAUGAUUGUAUUUUUCAAAAAUGUUCUAAACUAUAUUUUGGAAAACUGGCCUGUAAACUUUUGGAAAAUGUAACUUACAAUUUGAUAGAUAUUUUUAAUCAGUGAUUUUAAUAUCAAUUCAAUAUUUGUGAACUGCUGCCAGGCUUACAAAGAAUAUAACUGAAUACAAAAUAAACAACAUUAAGCUAUA